rnacentral:rRNA from 1 species
GAAGCAGCCAUCCUUGAAAGAGUGCGUAAUAGCUCACUGGUCAAGUGAUUCCGCGCCGAUAAUGUAGCGGGGCUUAAGUUAUCCGCCGAAGCUGUGGCAACCUGUGUGGUUGGGUAGGGGAGCGUCGUGUCAGUGGUGAAGCUGCCGGGUGACUGUGUGGUGGAGUUGAUGCGAGUGAGAAUGCAGGCAUGAGUAGCGUGUGACGGGUGGGAAUCCCGUCCGCCGAUUAUCCAAGGGUUCCAGGGUCAAGUUUGUCUGCCCUGGGUGAGUCGGGUCCUAAGGCGAGGCCGACAGGCGUAGUCGAUGGGUAACCAGUUGAUAUUCUGGUACCGGCUUGUCACCGUCCGUGUCGAGGUGUGUGAUGCUAAGCAUGUGAGCUUGUCUUGGGAGUGUUUUUGAUGCUUCUGGGGUGGGUGAGUGUGUGAACCGAUCAUGUAGUAGGCAAGCUGCGGAGGGACGCAGUGAGGUAGCUCAUCCCCGGUGAUGGUUGUCCGGGGCUAAGUGUGUGGACUGUCUGGUAGGUAAAUCCGCUGGGCGUGAAGGUUGAGGCAUGAUGGGGAGCCCAUGGUUGUGGGUGAGUGAGUGAUCCUGUACUGUCGAGAAAAGCUUCGUGAGCGAGGUGGCGGGUCCGCCCGUACCCUAAACCGACACUGGUGGAUAGGUAGAGUAUACCGAGGCGAUCGAGUGAAUCGUGGUGAAGGAACUCGGCAAAAUGCCCCCGUAACUUUGGGAUAAGGGGGACCUGAGCUGUCGUGCACCCGUGCGGUGUGGUGGCGGUGAGGGGCGCAGAGUCCAGGGGGAAACGACUGUUUACCAAAAACACAGGUCCGUGCGAAGUCGUAAGACGAUGUAUACGGACUGACUCCUGCCCGGUGCUGGAAGGUUAAGGGGAACUGUGAGUGUAUGCGUAGCGGUGAACUUAAGCCCCAGUAAACGGCGGUGGUAACUAUAACCAUCCUAAGGUAGCGAAAUUCCUUGUCGGGUAAGUUCCGACCUGCACGAAUGGAGUAACGAUUUCCCUACUGUCUCCACCAUGAACUCGGUGAAAUUGCAUUACGAGUAAAGAUGCUCGUUACGCGCAGCAGGACGGAAAGACCCCGGGACCUUUACUAUAGUUUGGUAUUGGUGAUUGGGACGGUUUGUGUAGGAUAGGUGGGAGACGUUGAUGCGGCCACGCUAGUGGUGGUGGAGUCGUUGGUGAAAUACCACUCUGAUUGUUCUGGUUAUCUCACUGUGGACCGUGAUCCGGUUCAAGGACAGUGCCUGAUGGGUAGUUUGACUGGGGCGGUCGCCUCCUAAAGGGUAACGGAGGCGCCCAAAGGUUCCCUCAGCCUGGUUGGUAAUCAGGUGGUGAGUGUAAGUGCAC